GACGAACGCUGGCGGCGUGCCUAAUACAUGCAAGUCGAACGGAAAGGCCCUGCUCUUGUGGGGUGCUCGAGAGGCGAACGCGUGUGUAUCACGCGAGUAACCUCCCCCUGACAUUGGGGUAACUCCUGGAAAAUCGGGCUCUUAUACGGGAUGAGAUCUUGAUGCACGGUGGGGAUUGGAAAGUGUCGGCGGUUGGGGAUGGACUCGCGGCUUAGCAGCUUGUUGGUGAGGUUGUGGCUUACCAGGGCUUUGAAGGGUAGCCCACGUGAGAGGGUGGCCGGGCACAUUGGUACUGAGAUAGGGCCCAGAAGGCUACGGUCGGCAACGGUGGAAAGUAUGGCGGAGUAGGCGGGAGCCAGUUACAACAGUGCCGGGUGCGGGAUGACGGCUUUCGGGUUAUAAACCGCUUUCGCCUGUGACGAAGCGUGAGUGACGGUAAUGGGUAAAGAAGCACCGGCUAACUACGUG
rnacentral:rRNA from 1 species